rnacentral:tRNA from 1 species
UCCCUAGUGGCUCAGAUGGUAAAGAACCUGCCUGUAAUGCAGGAGACCUGGGUUUGAUCCCUGGAUUGGGAA